UACGGAGGAUGCGAGCGUUAUCCGGAUUUAUUGGGUUUAACGGGUGCGUAGGCGGAUCGUUAAGUCAGUGGUCAAAUUGAGGGGCUCAACCCCUUCCCGCCAUUGAAACUGGCGAUCUUGAGUGGAAGAGAAGUAUGCGGAAUGCGUGGUGUGGCGGUGAAAUGCAUAGAUAUCACGCAGAACCCCGAUUGCGAAGGCAGCAUGCCGGCUUCCGACUGACGCUGAAGCACGAAAGCGUGGGGAUCGAACAGG
rnacentral:rRNA from 1 species